UUGGAUGGCUUGAUAGACUCAUCCAGACUGAGCAGCUGUCUUUCCUAGACCAGACUUAGCCAACUUCUCACUGGCAGCUGAAAAGCCACUUAUUUCAUGCAAUUUACAGGACAACUUUAACUGGUUUUCAUGACAACUAAUUUCAACCCAAGUUUUGCCUGUAAUUUGAGAUCUCUGCCAAUGAGCUUACAUCAAACAAAAUUGUUGAGAGAAGACAGAUUAAAAAAACCAAAUGCCAACAAGAGAGAAAAACCAGUGCUCUGCCAAGGCUGGCUGUAGGAAAGGGAUGGCAGCCAUCCAGAAGCAAAGACGAAAUUCUCAAAGCAAGAAGAAAGCUGAAAGAACCAGCUGGGUAAAAGGAAACACAUGGAGAGAAAAUGCAAAUGUGACACUAAGCCAGGGACCAAGCAGGUAACAAUACAUCUGAUGGAUUCAAUGAAACUAAAACAACCAAUGCCACUGGGUUUGCUUGAGUCUAAUAUUAGUCUAAGAGAAGCUGACACUUCAGGUAAUAUGAUCUUUUUUAAGAAGUGUUUUGUAAAUCUUUCUGGGAAGGCAAGAAAACCAUGUUAAGCUUAUUUACCUUGCUUAAAUGAGUCUUUAGACAUAGGCAUAUAAGUUGUUAGUUGCAGUACUUCACUUGCAGAGCAAAGGGAUUAGAGAUACUUCCCCUGUCCUUUGCCAUUUUCACCAGUUUUGCUCUUUGCUAUUUCUUAAAACUCCUUACUCAGAACUAUAUCUGAAGUAUAUAUAUGUCUGUAUUAUGAACCUGGAGGUCAGAGUUCCCAUUCUUCAAAGAAAAAUUAUUAAUUUAAGCAUUUGACUUGUUAGUGCUGUACAGGUGUUACACCAAUUGAAAACAAAGACGUUGAGGAUAUUCAAGUGAGGUCUCCAGAGUUUAUCAGUGUGCUGGUUGAACAUCACAUGUAUGUAAUCUAACAAGAUGCAGCAAUGUUUUUUCAUUUGAAUGCUGAACUCAAAUCAAAAUCACCAGCAGAGAAAUUGA